rnacentral:lncRNA from 1 species
UGCAAACGUACAGUACAGUGACUCAAGUUAGCCCUGUAGUAAGUUUCUCAGUCACAACUGCCCUUAUGGGUGGAUGCCACCUGUGGGUCUGUGGGUGAAAAAUGGGAAAAUCUGUAUGAGGCACUCAGGUGGCCUGCACGAAAUAUCAAGGUUGUAGACAACCCAGAGCCUGUAAGGCGAAAAUGUUCAUGCACAUUUUUGCCCAUUUUGGAUCCACAUUUUUUUCAACCCCCCGUAACCCUGCACACUGCUCAAGCGGCUCGUUAGUGCUGUUCAAGUAAAAGGUGUAUGUUCCUUGUGUGUAGCCUGACUGUUACAAAUGUAAAAAUUAGACAAUCAGAGCAUAAUUCGAUUGGCCAUCCUAUAGGGAUCUUACAGUCACUUACCUAUCACCUGUACUUCUUUUGUGUGCAGUAAUUGCAUGCAGUCUGUAAGUAGCCAGUGUGCGCUAAUGACUGGAGUGCUGCAUAAAUGGCACUGUACUACAGCAUUCCCCAUACAUCACAAGUGCGUGUCACAUACAUUAUUCUCACAAAUACUUCACAAUAUAUUUACCACACGCACGACAAUCAUAUGUUUCAUUUUCAGGACGUCUCUUAACAUGGCCACAUGAGCCUCAAGGGAACUGGAAGGCACACUUGUGCUCAUCUAAAAAUGCAGCCACUUCUCUCUAUGACCGUCUACUGGCUUGGACAACUCAAACCCCCCGCACAGAUGAUGGAGGGCGACUUCCUGGGAAAUCAGGAGGAGAGUGGUUAUACUUUAAUGCAUGCAGGGCCGUCUCCUUGGGACCAUACAGCUGCACAUCCUGAUGCAAGGCGCGCACAUACACAUAUACACACUACAACACGGAGGUGUACAUUGAUAUUUUAAUGGAGAAAGGACGGUGGGAGGAUGAGGUUUGAAAGGGGCCUCUAAAAGUUGACUGACGGAUUCUGACAGCUGAAUACUAAUCAUGAGAUCAACCUCUGGGUGAAUCUACAGGAACUCACUGGGGCACCUGGCUAGGAAAAGAAUAAAAAGGAUUAACAGUGAAUACAGACGGCUUAAAGAGAACAGAGAGACAUCAGUGGACAAACUCUGCUUUGUGGAAGAAAAGGCUGAGAGGAAGAAAAGAGCAAAAAUUCUGAAUUAGAA